rnacentral:lncRNA from 1 species
UCGUCCUCUUCCUCAUCCAUCAACGAGUCGGUGGUGGAGGAGCAGACCAAGCAGACCAAGCAGACCUAGGUGCUUUCCCUCGCCGCGGCAAUGGAUGACUCCACAUGCGAAGUGUGUCAGUGACUGCUGGAUAGGUUUCGCUUCCCUAUGAUGUGCUGUUGGUUUUGGGAUCAAUUUGUUUUUUUGCUUACGAUGGUGCACUGUGGUCUGCAGAGAAGAAGUGCCUCAACUCGGAGCUAUGACACGCGUGUGCCGGCCCGCUUGUCUCUUGUCUGCCUCCCCACCGUCGGCACAUGCG